GGUUCUAUAGUUUACUUAUAUAAAAUAUUAAAUUGCAAAUUUAAAGAAAAAAAAAUUUUUAGAACUU
rnacentral:tRNA from 1 species